rnacentral:misc_RNA from 1 species
GAUGAAGAACGUAGCGAAAUGCGAUAAGUAAUGUGAAUUGCAGAAUUCAGUGAAUCAUCGAAUCUUUGAACGCACAUUGAGCCCGCCAGUAUUCUGGCGGGCAGGCCUGUUCGAGCGUCAUUACAACCCUCAGGCCCCCGGGCCUGGCGUUGGGGAUCGGCGGAGCCCCCCGUGGGCACACGCCGUCCCCCAAAUACAGUGGCGGUCCCGCCGCAGCUUCCAUCGCGUAGUAGCUAACACCUCGCGACUGGAGAGCGGCGCGGCCACGCCGUAAAACACCCAACUCUUCUGAAGUUGACCUCGAAUCAGGUAGGAAUACCCGCUGAACUUAAGCAUAUCAAUAAGCGGAGGG